GGGGACCAGAAAUACCCACGAUGGCAGUACCAGGUUGGUGGGACAGCAGGGGUAAUUUGGGUAAUAAGACAGAUCCUCUGUUAUGGAGUCUUUUUAAGGAAGAGUCCCUCUCAGUGAGAGGCAGGCAGAAUAUUAGAAGUUUCUUUUUCUUUUGGGAGACCAUAUCAUCUCGAAUAGCUAUUCUUAUUGUUAAAUUCCUCAUUUCGCGUUGUUCUUGUUAUGAACUGGAAUACCAUUUAGAGGCUGCCAUUGUUUCAUUAAUAGAUUGAUAAUUUGUGUGUUGAGUUCAUAACAAAUUGGUAUCAGAGCAAUCAUCUGGGAUCAUGGCCGGAGGAAAAGAAGUGGGAGGAGCCCAACUCAAGAGGGUUGAAUCCUUAGAGGCAGAGUUAGGGCAUUUGAACGACAGAAUGGAGAAUCAAGGACACCAGAUCCAACAGGCUGACUCUAUCGCUUCAAUACAGAUGAAGAUGGACCAGAAGUUUGAAGAGGUAUUAAGGGCCCUCGGUAGAGGAAAGAAGUCGAAAGAAGGAGAAUCGUUCGACGAACCUGUUAUCUCCAUGAUGGAAACCCCGAAGGAUAACAGUGGAGGAUCCAAACCAACGGGGAGCGGUGGUUCAGGUACGGGUGGAAGCAGCGACGGUGGAGGCCGGUCACAAGGAGGCGAGUACGAUGGAGGAACCAAUUGGAGGUUCAGGAAACUGGAUAUGCCCUUUUUUGACGGUGAAAAUCCGGACAGCUGGAUCUUGAGGGCUGAACGAUACUUCAACUUUUACAGACUAUCAGAGGCGGAUAAGCUGGAGGCAGCGGUGGUAGCCCUUGAAGGCGAUGCCCUUCUGCGGUAUCAGUGGGAACACACUCAUCGACCGGUGACGCGAUGGAUGGAGAUGAAAUCGCUGUUAUUGAGGCAGUUUCGACCGACUAAUGCAGGUACGUUACAGCAACAAUGGCUCGCCCUAACUCAGACCGGGUCAGUUUUAGAGUACCAGCGAGCAUUUAUUGAACGACUUGCCCCGCUAAGCAACAUACCCGAAGACAUCACUUUGGGCCAAUUCCUCAAUGGGCUAAAUGAAGAAAUUAGGUCGGAGGUCCAGUUAUUGAGCCCCAUGUCCGUUGAACAAGCCAUGACGAUGGCUAUCAAGGCCGAACAGAAGCUUCAAUCCUAACUAAAACGCAAACCACAUCCCUCUCCUGUCACAUAGCGAACGAACACCACUGGAAGCAUAUCAGGAACACCCUUGAUUACUCCCAUUAAAACUACCAUCUACUCCUCCAAGAGCAUAGCGUCACCUCCAAUCUAUACCCCAGCGAGCCAGGUGGUGAACAAUCAAGUAUCAGGGGAAGUAAGAAGGUUGACAGAUAAGGAACUACAACACAAAAAAGAGAAGGGGUUGUGUUAUCGAUGUGAUGAUAAAUGGAACCCGGGCCAUCAAUGCAAAAAGAAGGAGUUGAGUGUCUUGCUCAUGCAGGAAGAAGAGAGAGAGGAAACGGACCCUCAAUCGGAAGAGAUAGAAACUCCUCCCCAAGAAAUCACAACCUUAUCAGGCAUCUGCCUCAAUUCAGUGAUGGGGCUAACAAACCCAAAAUCUCUCAAACUCAAAGGAACCAUAGCAGAAUCAGAAGUGGUGGUCCUUAUUGAUCCAGGGGCAACUCAUAAUUUUCUCUCUCUGCAAACCAUUAACCAGCUCCACAUACCGGUCAUACCAACCGCUGAGUUUGGAGUUUCCUUGGGGACAGGGAAGGCAGUUUCAGGAACAGGAAAGUGCCAAGGGAUUCUUCUACAGGUGCAGGGCUUAGAUAUCACGGAGGAUUUCCUUCCUCUCACUCUUGGCAAUUCCGAUGUUAUCUUAGGAAUUCAAUGGCUAGAGAAGUUGGGAGCGGUUACUACUAAUUGGAAGACUCAAAUAAUGAAGUUUCAGGUGAAUGGGCAGUGGGUCACCUUACGGGGGGAUCCUUCCUUGGAACGAGCUAGAAUUUCCUUGAAAACCAUGGUGAGAACUCUUGGGGCAGUUGGGGGAGGAUACUUGGUCCAAUACAGCCACCUGGAGAUGCAGGCCCCGACUCUAGACGUACCACCAACUCCACCGUAUCUAUCCCAUUUGGUCUGGAAUUUCGCUAAGGUGUUUAAUUGGAAGGGUGGUCUUCCACCACCACGGAACCAACAACAUGCUAUCCAAUUGAAGGCCGGUGUCGGACCGGUUUCAGUAAGGCCCUACAGGUAUUCUUACGCCCAAAAGACGGAGAUUGAAAGGCUGUUACGUGAUAUGCUCCAAUCGGGAAUCAUACAACCUUCCCGUAGUCCCUUCUCGAGCCCGGUUUUGUUAGUAAAAAAAAAGAUGGGUCUUGGAGAUUUUGUGUGGAUUAUAGAAGUCUUAACAAGAUCACCGUUAAAGACAAGUUUCCAAUCCCAGUUAUAGACGAGCUUUUGGAUGAAUUACACGGGUCGAGAAUCUUUUCAAAACUGGAUUUAAAAUCCGGGUACCACCAAAUUCGGAUGAAGGAAGAAGAUGUGCCAAAAACCGCUUUUAGGACCCACGAAGGUCAUUAUGAGUUUACUGUCAUGCCGUUCGGCUUGACGAAUGCCCCAGCCACGUUCCAAUCUGUCAUGAAUGAGAUCUUCAAGCCCUUCCUUCGGCGGUUCGUAUUAGUCUUCUUUGAUGACAUUCUAAUUUAUAGUCAAACGGAAGAACAACACGUCAGGCAUUUGGAAAUAGUGUUGGAGAUUCUUAUCAAACAUGAAUUGUAUGCCAAUCCAAGCAAAUGUGAAUUGGGUAAAUGUAGGAUUGCCUAUCUGGGUCAUGUGGUGUCGGAAUAGGGUGUGGCGGUAGAUGAUGAAAAAAUUAAGGUUGUGGUGGCCUGGCCUCUUCCGACAACUGUUAAGGAGUUGAGAGGAUUUUUAGGACUCACGGGGUAUUACAGGAAGUUUAUAGCUGGCUACGCGAGAAUUGCAACACCAAUGACCGACCAGCUGAGUAAGGACUAUUUUAGUUGGAUUAAGGAGGCCACAGAGGCUUUUAUGGCUCUGAAAUAUGCUCUCACAAAUACGCCCAUCCUCGCACUACCUAACUUUUCUAAGGUUUUUAGUGUGGAAACGGAUGCAUCUGGAACUGGCCUUGGGGCCGUCUUAACACAAGAUGGACAUCCCAUUGCCUACUACAGCCAAGUCCUUGGAGUGAGGAACCGACUCAAGUCCAUUUAUGAGAAAGAACUAAUGGCUAUAGUCCUAGCGGUAAGGAAAUGGAGACACUAUUUGAUGGGAAGACACUUCAUCAUCAAAACUGAUCAACGAAGUCUGAAGUUUCUAAUGGAGCAAAGGGAGGUUGGCCCGGAAUACCAGAAAUGGAUGUACAAGCUGAUGGGGUUUGAUUUUGAAAUUCACUACAAGCCGGGUCCCACGAAUAAGGUAGCGGACGCUCUCUCACGAAGGAGUGAUUCUAACCCAGAAUUACAGGUGCUCUAUUCAACAUGGUCCUUACCCUUGGAGAAGCUUAAUGAAGAAAUCGGGGAUGAUCCAUUCAUUCAACAAGUGAAGAUAGACAUCACUGAAGGUAACAAGAGCCAUGUCGGGUAUUCAGUGGAGAACAAUAGACUUUUAUACAAGGGUAGGUUGGUAAUUCCCCACAAUUCCACAUUGAUACCGAGCCUGUUACACGAAUUCCAUGAUUCUGUGAUCGGGGGACACGCGGGUGAGCUGAGAACAUAUCAAAGGCUGGCCUUCGAAUGGUUCUGGGUAGGAAUGAGAAAAGCGGUUCAAAAGUAUGUGCGGGAAUGUCAAAUUUGUCAAACACAGAAAUCAUUAAACACCCACCCAGCUGGACUUCUACAACCUCUUCCAGUCCCAGAUCAAGUAUGGGAUAACAUUUCUAUGGACUUCAUAGAAGGGCUUCCGAAUUCGAAGGGGUACAAUUCCAUUCUCGUGGUGGUGGACCGACUCAGCAAAUAUUCACACUUCAUAGCCUUGAAACACCCGUUCACUGCGGUUUCGGUGGCAGCCAUAUUCAUCAAGGAAGUUGUGAGGCUUCAUGGGUUUCCCAAGUCCAUUGUUUCUGACCGGGACAAGGUUUUUAUGAGUCUGUUUUGGCCCGAAUUAUUUAAACUGCAGGGCACCAACUUGCUCAGGAGCACCGCCUACCACCCGCAAACAGAUGGCCAAUCGGAGAUAGUUAACAAAUCAGUGGAACUCUACCUUCGUUGCUUCAUUCAAGGGAAGCCCCGGUCUUGUUCGAAAUGGUUACAUUGGGCGGAGUUUUGGCAUAAUACAGCUUAUCACAUGUCCGGAAAGAUCACUCCCUUUAAGGCUUUAUAUGGUCGAGAUCCACCCGAAAUACUUAGGAUGCAAAAAGGACAGACAGUUGUAUCCUCUGUAGAAGAACAACUUCUGGAAAGAGAUGCAAUCCUUGAUGAUCUUAAGGGACAUCUCACACAAGCUCAACAGAAAAUGAAAAGGUUGGCGGAUAGAAAUCGCAAGGACGUGUCAUUCAAUGAAGGGGAGUGGGUGUUCCUGAAACUACAACCGUACCGACAACGAUCGAUGGCUCACAGACCAUUCCAGAAGUUAGCAGCUCGAUACUAUGGACCUUAUUUGAUCAUCAAAAAGAUUGGGUCGGUCGCUUAUCAGCUCCAGUUACCUGAGUCUGCCAAAAUUCACCCGGUGUUCCACGUCUCGCAACUAAGGAGAGCCAUUGGAGAUGUAGUGGCAAGGUCCACCUUACCAGCUCAUCUAUCGGAGGAAAUGAUACUCAAUUGGGAACCAGAAACGGUUAUAGGGGUGAGGAACCAAGUGGAAGACUAUGGGCCCAGAAUGGAGGUAUUGAUCAAGUGGAAAGACGUUCCGGAAUUCGAAUCAACCUGGGAGGAUUUCAUGACAAUCCAACAAACAUUUCCGGAAUUUGACCUUGAGGACAAGGUCAACCUUUGGGGAAGGAGUAAUGUAGUGCACCCCCCAUUGCAGUUCACCUAUCAGAGAAGGAGACACAAAAAGAUUCCCACGUCUGUGGGGACCAGAAAUACCCACGAUGGCAGUACCAGGUUGGUGGGACAGCAGGGGUAAUUUGGGUAAUAAGACAGAUCCUCUGUUAUGGAGUCUUUUUAAGGAAGAGUCCCUCUCAGUGAGAGGCAGGCAGAAUAUUAGAAGUUUCUUUUUCUUUUGGGAGACCAUAGCAUCUCGAAUAGCUAUUCUUAUUGUUAAAUUCCUCAUUUCGCGUUGUUCUUGUUAUGAACUGGAAUACCAUUUAGAGGCUGCCAUUGUUUCAUUAAUAGAUUGAUAAUUUGUGUGUUGAGUUCAUAACAGACAUGUGGUAAAAGUAUUUUCAUUUAUUAUAGUAGAUAAUAAAAUAAUGUGUUUCUUAUCAUUUUACAAUUUUAUUUAACUUAUUAAUAUAAUAUAUAAAACAAUAAUAAUAAAAAAAUUAACUAAUUAAUAAAUAAUUUCAAAAAAAAUUAUCAAAAAGAAAAUUCAUAUUUAGACAACUCUAAAUAUAUACGUUUAAGUUUUGAUACAACAAAACUGUAUUAUCAUAAAUAUU
rnacentral:lncRNA from 1 species